AUGCAUGGUUUUUGUGUGCAGGGUGCGAGAUGUCUGCCUAUGCAUCGAUAUGGAUUUUUAGCUCGAAGUUGCUUCGACCUUCUGUGCACUGACAUUAGCUAUACCAUGCUGAACUGUCUAGGCAUGAAUCCAGGUGGUAUGAGAAUCAACGAGAUCCCAUGUAUUAGAAGGUCGUUGAAAGCACUUGGACAAGAAGAAAUGAUGAAGAUCAUGAUACAUUGUUUGGAGAUUUGA